rnacentral:lncRNA from 1 species
AUGGGUUUGAUCUCUGGUCAGGGAACUAAGAUCCGUGAACUCCCAGCUGCCCACAAGGAAGGUGCUACUGCAGCCCCCACUGCCACGAACGGAGAAGCAGGCUCAGAGACCACGAGCCCCUGGCCACACCUGCUGCCUAGCGGAGGCCCCAGAACCAAACUGGCCCUGAGCCCUGGGGUCCAUCCUCCAGCUCCUGGUGGAGGCAGAUGGCCGCCCGACCCUGGGGUCCCAGCCCCAAGUCCUCCAGGCCCUGCCACCUGCAGCCGUGGCCGGCCUCUCCUGCUACUCUGGCCUUCUCCUGGAGGGCUGGGAGGGGCCCCUGCCUUGUGCACCGCCCCUCCUGUUCAGGAGCAGGAGCCGGACCCAGGGCCCUGCCCUUGCGAGCCACAGUCUCCUGCCUCUCCCAGCCAUGCCCUGCCUCCUUUUCUGCACUGCCUUCCCAAGAUCCCUGCGGGGCUGCCCCUUCCCUGCCUCAGACUCCACACCUGCCCCCUCCUCCCACCUGCCACAACCCUCUGCAUGGCCAUUUCUGCUUCCUGCCCGCACCCAAGCAGACCCUCAGGCACACUGACCUCAGGGGUGGUGAAAGUGGGCAGCGGCCCGCAUGCCCUGAUGCCGGUGAGAGCAGCCAGAGCCACUCCUGUUCAGCCAGAAGCUGCAUCUGAGGCUGCCUUUCAGGCCUGUGGGGGACACAGCUUUCUUGGGGGCGCCCACGAUGUGCCUGCAGGGACCACUGAGCCCAGGGAGAGUGGAUGGCCCACAGCAGUGAUGGACACGGGGCACAUGGCUGGUGUCCACACUGCCCACUGUUUUAGAAAUUAUGCAGGAUCUGAACAGCAUUCAGAGUGACUCAGAGACAGGACCUUCUCUUGUUCACAGAGAAAAAGUAAAAUAUUAACUUUUGGCAUUAGAAAAAUUCUAGCAUUCCUUAAGAAGCCUGGACUGCAGGUGCAACCCGUCUGGUGACCUUGUGGCAGGGUCUGGUCUCUUCCUGAAAGAACCAACACAUUCCAGUCUUCUUGGGCCCAUCUCUGUAGAGGGCUGUUAGGGAGGCAGGACUGAAGCCCCAAGACGUAUUCUGGGUACACAUGCAGGUCCAGCUGAAGGGCUGGGGCUCCUCCCGGGCCCUCCUUCCAGGGGGUGAGUCCUCCUGGGAGGGGGCUUCACCAGGAGAUGACAGCAGAGCUGGCCGGGUGGGGUGGGGGCUCUGUCCUAGGUCCAGGCCCGCCCUGCGCUGUGGGGAGACAGGGGUGAGCUUCUCCAGGCCUCCUUGCCCGCCAGCCCAGCCUUGGUCUGCAGGGCAGUUCUCUGCAGGCGAUUCCAGGUCCUUAGGGCCAUGCUCCAAGGUGGGGACGGGUGAGGGGUGUUGGCGCAUCAGAGGCGGGAGCCUGCGGCCUGGGUGCCCUGGACUGGUCCUGAGAAUGCAGGGAAUACAUGUGAGACAGGGACGUGUGGAGGGCUGGUCAGUUCCUCCCAUGCCUCCAUCCAGUGGUCUCCCACCUCAAAUACAGAAGGGCAGGGGUGCAGACCCCCUGUCCUCAGGGCACUCACAGGGCAGCAGGAAGGAGGCCCAGACAAAGCUGAGUCCGAAAGCAGGCAUGGGGCGUGUAGGAGAAACUGACCACGGGAAGCAGCGGGACGGGAAGGCAGCAGAAACCGCAGAUGCGGCAGGAGGGAGGAGGAUGCCAGGAUGGAGCAUGGGCCGGGCGCGGAAGGAAGGCUGGGGGAGAGGCAGGCGGCCGGCCCGGGGCUCUGUGACCCGCCCAGUGCGAUGAGAAGCCGGCAGGGCUCUGAGCACGGCACAGCGGAAUCCGAUUUCCGUUCUCACACUCACUGUGCAGCUUGCUGG